GUCCACGCCGUAAACGAUGGAUACUAGCUGUUGGAAGUAAUUUCAGUGGUUAAGCGAAAGUGAUAAGUAUCCCACCUGGGGAGUACGUUCGCAAGAAUGAAACUCAAAGGAAUUGACGGGGCCCGCACAAGCGGUGGAGCAUGUGGUUUAAUUCGAUGAUACGCGAGGAACCUUACCAAGGCUUAAAUGUAGUUUGACAGAUUUGGAAACAGAUUUUUCUUCGGACAAAUUACAAGGUGCUGCAUGGUUGUCGU
rnacentral:rRNA from 1 species